GAUGAACGCUAGCUACAGGCUUAACACAUGCAAGGUCGAGGGGGCAGCAUGAACUUAGCUUGCUAAGUUUGAGUGGCGACCGGCGCACGGGUGAGUAACACGUAUCCAACCUGCCGAUGACUCGGGGAUAGCCUUUCGAAAGAAAGAUUAAUACCCGAUGGCAUAGUUCUUCCGCAUGGUAGAACUAUUAAAGGAUUUCGGUCAUCGAUGGGGAUGCGUUCCAUUAGGUUGUUGGCGGGGUAACGGCCCACCUAGUCUUCGAUGGAUAGGGGUUCUGAGAGGAAGGUCCCCCACAUUGGAACUGAGACACGGUCCAAACUCCUACGGGAGGCAGCAGUGAGGAAUAUUGGUCAAUGGGCGAGAGCCUGAACCAGCCAAGUAGCGUGAAGGAUGACUGCCCUAUGGGUUGUAAACUUCUUUUAUAAAGGAAUAAAGUCGGGUAUGCAUACCCGUUUGCAUGUACUUUAUGAAUAAGGAUCGGCUAACUCCGUG
rnacentral:rRNA from 1 species